rnacentral:lncRNA from 1 species
CCGAUACUCAACUAUUCCUUACCGCAGGACAGAGGUGGUCAGAGUUGUUACCGUGCGUUGAAAAAUGAAGAUUUUUAGUUCUCAAUUGUUCGUCCUUGUUUUGCUGUACUGCUGCAUCGUAUCACUAGCCUGGGCACCUUGGGGUCGGCGUAGACGAUCGAGGUAUGUAUCGCAUGGGCUUGUAGAAAAUCUCCACUGAAAUACCGCCAAUAUUGCGCUCAGUUUGGAAACAGUAGUUAAAUCAACAUUUCUGUUAUCCGCCGUACCGACGUCGAGUAAACAUUGUCGCGUCGUCAGUUUGUCGACGUGUUCGACGAAUUGUGGAACUAAAAAUGUGUUCCGCUGGCAGACAGUUCAAGGGGCUUCGUAUCGCCCUAUGAAGUCGAACGCACUACACUUCUUGCCAGGUUUGCAGUGGG